AACGAACGUUAGCGGCGCGCUUAACACAUGCAAGUCGUGCGAGAAAGGGAGCAAUCCCCGGUAAAGCGGCGCACGGGUGAGUAACACGUAGGUAACGUGCCCCUAGGUGGUGGAUAACCUUCCGAAAGGAGGGCUAAUACAGCAUAAGACCACGGCUUCGAAAGGAGCUGAGGUCAAAGUCGGCCUCUAUUCAUAAGCUGACGCCAAGGGAUCGGCCUGCGGCCCAUCAGGUAGUUGGUAGGGUAAUGGCCUACCAAGCCUAAGACGGGGUAGCUGGUCUGAGAGGAUGAUCAGCCACACUGGAACUGAGACACGGUCCAGACCUCCGUACGGGAGGCAGCAGGUGGGGAAUCUUGCGCAAUGGGCGAAAGCCUGACGCAGCGACGCCGCGUGAGGGAAGAAGGUCCUCUGGAUUGUAAACCUCUUUUGGCAGGAAACAACCUAGCGCUAUACGCGCAGCUGAGGGUACCUGCAGAAUAAGCACCGGCUAACUCCGUGCCA
rnacentral:rRNA from 1 species